UGGGGAAUUUUGGACAAUGGGCGAAAGCCUGAUCCAGCAAUGCCGCGUGUGUGAAGAAGGCCUUCGGGUUGUAAAGCACUUUUGCCCGGAAAGAAAUCCUUGGCUCUAAUACAGUCGGGGGAUGACGGUACCGGAAGAAUAAGCACCGGCUAACUACGUGCCAGCAGCCGCGGUAAUACGUAGGGUGCAAGCGUUAAUCGGAAUUACUGGGCGUAAAGCGUGCGCAGGCGGUUUGCUAAGACCGAUGUGAAAUCCCCGGGCUCAACCUGGGAACUGCAUUGGUGACUGGCAGGCUAGAGUAUGGCAGAGGGGGGUAGAAUUCCACGUGUAGCAGUGAAAUGCGUAGAGAUGUGGAGGAAUACCGAUGGCGAAGGCAGCCCCCUGGGCCAAUACUGACGCUCAUGCACGAAAGCGUGGGGAGCAAACAGGAUUAGAUACCCUGGUAGUCCACGCCCUAAACGAUGUCAACUAGUUGUUGGGGAUUCAUUUCCUUAGUAACGUAGCUAACGCGUGAAGUUGACCGCCUGGGGAGUACGGUCGCAAGAUUAAAACUUAAAGGAAUUGACGGGGUCAUA
rnacentral:rRNA from 1 species